rnacentral:rRNA from 1 species
CCCGCUCAGAAACUCAAAGGAAUUGACGGGGACCCGCACAAGCAGCGGAGCAUGUGGUUUAAUUCGAAGCAACGCGAAGAACCUUACCAGGUCUUGACAUCCCUCUGAAGUAGCCUUAGCCGGCUAUGUCCUUCGGGACAGAGGAGACAGGUGGUGCAUGGUUGUCGUCAGCUCGUGUCGUGAGAUGUUGGGUUAAGUCCCGCAACGAGCGCAACCCUUAUGUUUAGUUGUCAUCAGGUAAAGCUGGACCCUCUAGACAGACUGCCGUGGAUAACACGGAGGAAGGUGGGGAUGACGUCAAAUCAUCAUGCCCCUUAUGAUCUGGGCUACACACGUGCUACAAUGGUCGGUACAACGGGCAGCGAAGUCGUAAGAUGGAGCGAAUCCUAAAAAGCCGAUCCCAGUUCGGAUUGUGGGCUGAAACUCGCCCACAUGAAGUUGGAGUUGCUAGUAAUCGCGAAUCAGAAUGUCGCGGUGAAUGCGUUCCCGGGUCUU